CAAAAAGACAAAGACAAAUACCGAAAAUAGUGAUUGUGAGGAAGACACUAGACAGAGCCAAGACAAUAACCAAACAACGUCACCAGAGUUGAAAAGAAUUAUCAUUCAGCAUUGGAGAUAGGAACCUAUCAUGUUUUCAUACAGUCUAUAAGAUAGUAAGGACCACAGAGAUUGUUGACAUACA